AUGUGCCAGCCAGCUGUCUCCUGUCCUACAACACCUCUACAACCUGAGCCUGGGUCAGGAGGGAAUACCGGUGCUUUGGAAGACUUCCUGCCUGGUUCCUGUUCCAAAGAAGUCGCAACAUCAGACCUCAAUGACUAUCGACCAGUGGCCCUCACAUCUUACGUCAUGAAGGUGCUGGAGAGACUGGUUUUGGCCAACCUGAGGCCGCAGGUGAGAGCCCUGCUAGACCCUCUGCAAUUUGCUUACCAGCCCCACUUGGGAGUUGAUGACGCUGUCAUCUACCUGCUGCAACGAGCCCAUUCGCACCUGGAUGGUGGAGGAGGCACUGUGAGAAUCACAUUCUUUGAUUUCUCUAGUGCUUUUAUCACCAUUCAGCCACUGCUACUGGGGGAGAAGCUUCGGGUGAUGGGUGUAGAUGACACAAUGAUCUCCUGGAUUACUGACUACCUGACAGGCAGGCCACAGUUUGUCCAUAUGGGCAGUGUUCUGUCUGAUGCGGUGGUUAGUGAUACAGGAGAUCCACAGGGGACUGUACUGUCUCCUUUCCUGUUCACCUUAUACACCACUGACUUUCAGUACAACACCGGGUCGUGUCACCUGCAAAAGUUUUCUGACGACUCGGCUGUUGUUGGGUGUAUAAGUGAGAGACAGGAGGAGGAGUACAGGGCACUGGUAGACAACUUUUUGGAGUGGACUGGACAGAAUCACCUGCGGCUGAACAUCAGCAAGACCAGAGAGAUGGUGAUAGAUUUCAGGAAGAAGAGGAAGACGGCUUUCCAACCUCUGUGCAUUCUGGGAAAGGAUGUGGAGGCGGUGGAGGAUUACAAGUACCUGGGUGUUACCAUCAACCACAGACUGGACUGGAGAUCUAACACUGAAGCUGUUUACAAGAAGGGGAUGAGCAGACUUUACUUCCUGAGGAAGCUGAGAUCCUUCAACGUGUGCAGCAAGAUGUUGGAGAUCUUUUAUCAGUCUGUGGUGGCCAGUGUACUUUUCUUUGCUGUGGUUUGUUGGGGAAGCAGCAUUGGAGCCAGCGACACCAACAGACUCAACAAACUGAUCAGAAAGGCUGGCUCUGUGAUUGGCUGCAAACAGGACACUCUGGAGGCUGUGGUGGAGAGGAGGACACUGAAAAAACUGUUAUCCAUCAUGGAUAAUCCUCUCCACCCUCUCCAACUCACACUGGUCAGACAGCGGAGCACCUUCUCCGGAAGGCUGCUUCAGCUUCGCUGUCGUAGCAACAGAUACAGGAAAUCUUUCCUGCCACAAUCCAUCACUUUACAACAACUCUCUCACCUCUGCCUGACAGAGAACUCUGGUCUCUCUACUGUUUUGUUGUAUAUAUUAUUAUUGUUAUAG
rnacentral:lncRNA from 1 species